rnacentral:rRNA from 1 species
UGGGGAAUAUUGGACAAUGGGCGCAAGCCUGAUCCAGCCAUGCCGCGUGUGUGAAGAAGGCCUUUUGGUUGUAAAGCACUUUAAGCGAGGAGGAGGCUACUUGGAUUAAUACUCUAGGAUAGUGGACGUUACUCGCAGAAUAAGCACCGGCUAACUCUGUGCCAGCAGCCGCGGUAAUACAGAGGGUGCGAGCGUUAAUCGGAUUUACUGGGCGUAAAGCGUGCGUAGGCGGCUUCUUAAGUCGGAUGUGAAAUCCCUGAGCUUAACUUAGGAAUUGCAUUCGAUACUGGGAAGCUAGAGUAUGGGAGAGGAUGGUAGAAUUCCAGGUGUAGCGGUGAAAUGCGUAGAGAUCUGGAGGAAUACCGAUGGCUAAGGCAGCCAUCUGGCCUAAUACUGACGCUGAGGUACGAAAGCAUGGGGAGCAAACAGG